GGUGGAGGUGGCGGGGUGGAGGGGAGAUGACCCACCAGACAGCCGGGCUUGGCUGGAAUGGGGUGCUGCUGAUGAGGCGUCUAAGAAGACCCCGCCUCUGACCUUGGACCGUCCAGGACUCUUCCUUCGCGGACCCCAGCCUUCUACCCCCAUUUCCCCGCCUGGGUCUACAUCCAUCAAAUGCUCUCGACACCCUAUUUCCAAGCAACUUCUCUAGAACUUUUCUGUUCAUCGUCCCCCAACCGUGGCAGCGAGGGCGGGAGCUAGCGGGACACUCGCCCCGUGAAGAUCCAGUGAAGAACAAUUUUGCCUCUCUCGGCGCACCCCCAGCCCCCGACCCUCAAGCCACCAAGUCUCGGAAAACCCUCAGGCAAGGAAAGGCAACAGGAGGUGGGUGGGGGAGGGGCCCUUGAAGUUCGGAAACAGAUUCCUGGGAGAAUUUCUGGUUCUGAAGACCCAGAAAUGGCCAAUCAGAAACCGCAAAGAAUAGAGCUAAGGCAGAAUCCAGGGCCUUGAGCCGGGUAGAGUUCAUGUACAGGUACAAGAUCCCACUUUGGGUCAGCAGACCGCAGGAGGAGGCGACCAAGGAGUUCCCUGGAAUUCUGUGUUAGGCUGGCCAGAUCUGUGAAUCAAAGGGCGCUUCCUCCUGGACCUGAACUCAGACUCCAUUUGCACUCAGGCUCACAGCCACAGACCAACGACGCAACGGCAAGGAGGACCUUAUUCAAUCUUCUCUAAUCACGGGCAAUAAGUCGCCGGCGGGAUUUUUUUUUUUUUCCUGCGUCUUAUUGCCUAGGUUACAGAAAAGGUGGGUUUCUGAUUCCAAAACACUUCCAAGCUGAUUCUUGGCUGACUCCUUGCAUCCGGCCCAGGGAGUGUGUGCUGUGAAUGGUGUUGACUUAGCCACUCCCCUGUCCUUCCAAAUGAAUCUACUUAUCUUGGAGACUACUUAGAUUUGGAGACUAAACCACUCAACUGCAAGAACUGUGCAGCACCUGAUUCAGUGUGGGAAAGAGAAGAUACGCUCGGGGACUACUUAGUGGUGUCUUCUCAAAAGGGCUGUCCCACUGCACUUUUCAGCCAUGACAGUUCCUAUUUCCUAACAGUAGUACUCCUGGAUUUGGGCAGGCUGCUCCCCUCAAGAAGGAAAUCCCCUGCAAUUUCCCAGCACUGUCAUGAAGAAUGAAUGAAAUAAAUGGAGGAGGGAACUAGGACUCUGCAAGAAUCAAGGUCUUGGGGCUUUUCAUGCUACAUUUUUAUUGUGUCUUUUUUUAUUAUUAUUACUUUCCCUCUCCCCAUUCAAAUCCUCUUCCAUGUUUCCUAGGCCACCUUCAUGUCACUUUGAUGACUCCUCUUUGAU